rnacentral:rRNA from 1 species
GACGAACGCUGGCGGCGUGCUUAACACAUGCAAGUCGAACGAAGUGGCGAACGGGUGAGUAACGCGUAAUCAACCUGCCCUUCAGAGGGGGAUAACAGUUGGAAACGACUGCUAAUACCGCAUACUGAAGGAGGGGUUUGCGUCUGAUUAGCUAGUUGGAGGGGUAACGGCCCACCAAGGCGAUGAUGAGUAGGCGGUCGGAGAGGAUGAACGGCCAAAUGGGGACUGGGAAACGGCCCAGACUCCUGCGGGAGGCAGCAGUGGGGAAUCUUCCGAAAUGGACGAAAGUCUGACGGAGCAACGCCGCGUGAGUGAUGACGGACUUCGGGUUGUAAAGCUCUGUUAAUCGGGACGCGGUACCGGAAUAGAAAGCCACGGCUAACUACGUGCCAGCCGCCGCGGUAAUAC